GAUGAACGCUGGCGGCGUGCUUAACACAUGCAAGUCGAACGAAGCAAUUUUCUACGAUCCCUUCGGGGUGACGGAUUAUUGACUGAGUGGCGGACGGGUGAGUAACGCGUGGGUAACCUACCUUGUACAGGGGGAUAACAGUUGGAAACGACUGCUAAUACCGCAUAAGCGCACAGCAUCGCAUGAUGCAGUGUGAAAAGUUUUUUCGGUACAAGAUGGACCCGCGUCUGAUUAGCUAGUUGGUGAGGUAACGGCCCACCAAGGCGACGAUCAGUAGCCGACCUGAGAGGGUGACCGGCCACAUUGGGACUGAGACACGGCCCAAACUCCUACGGGAGGCAGCAGUGGGGAAUAUUGCACAAUGGGCGAAAGCCUGAUGCAGCGACGCCGCGUGAGCGAAGAAGUAUUUCGGUAUGUAAAGCUCUAUCAGCAGGGAAGAUAAUGACGUAC
rnacentral:rRNA from 1 species